rnacentral:tRNA from 1 species
GUCUCAUUCGUCUAACGGAAAGGACAGGGGACUUCUAAUCCCCCGGUACGGGUUCGAAUCCUGUAUGAGACA